rnacentral:rRNA from 1 species
GAUGUACGCUGGCGGCGUGCCUAAUACAUGCAAGUCGAGCGAACAGACGAGGAGCUUGCUCCUCUGACGUUAGCGGCGGACGGGUGAGUAACACGUGUAUAACCUACCUAUAAGACUGGGAUAACUUCGGGAAACCGGAGCUAAUACCGGAUAAUAUAUUGAACCGCAUGGUUCAAUAGUGAAAGACGGUUUUGGUGGAACUUCUAGAUGGAUCCGCGCCGCAUUAGCUGGUUGGUAAGGUAACGGCUUAUCAAGGCAAGGAUGCGUAGCCGAGCUGAGAGGGUGGUAGGCAGCCUUGGAACUGGACCAGCGACCAGGCGACUACGGGAGGCACCAGUCGGGAAUCUUCCGCAAUGGGCGAAAGCCUGACGCAGCAACCCCGCGUGAGUGAUGGAGGCCUUCGGAUCGUAAAACUCUGUUAUUAGGGAAAAACAACUGUGUAAUUAACUAUGCACGUCUUGACGGUACCUGAUCAGAAAGCCCCGGCUAACUACGUG